rnacentral:tRNA from 1 species
GGGGCUGUAGCUCAAUUGGGAGAGCGUCUGUUUUGCACGCAGGAGGCCGUCGGUUCGAUCCCGACCAGCUCCA